GAACAAUCAACUACAUUCAAAAUGAUGAAAUUCUUUAUCUUGGCUUUCGUUGCCUUAAUGGUGCUCGUGGCUUCAGCUGUGGCUGAACCAGAACCACAACCAUCUGGAAUCAUUGGAGCUCCAAUUUUGGCCGCACCAGCCGUAGCUGUCGGAGGUUGGGGUUUAGGACGUGGAGCAAUUAUUGGUUAAACAGUCACCAGCAAAAUCUGUAAAAUGAGUUAACUACAUAAAAUAAAAUGAUGACGAUUCA